UACAGAGGUGGCAAGCGUUGUUCGGAAUCACUGGGCGUAAAGGGCGCGUAGGCGGCCCGGUAAGUAGGGGGUGAAAUCUUGCGGCUCAACCGCAAGGCUGCCUUCUAAACUGCCAGGCUCGAGCACAGUAGAGGCAGGUGGAAUUCCCGGUGUAGCGGUGGAAUGCGUAGAUACUGGGAAGAACACCGGUGGCGAAGGCGACCAUCUGGACCGGAACUGACGCUGAGGCGCGAAAGCCAGGGGAGCGAAUGGG
rnacentral:rRNA from 1 species